rnacentral:rRNA from 1 species
AGUGAACGCUGGCGGCAGGCUUAACACAUGCAAGUCGAACGGGAACCUCCGAAUGUCAGCGGCUGACGGGUGAGUAGAGAGUGGGGACGUGGAAAUUCGUUCGGAAUUACUUUGGGACACUUGAGCUAAUACCGAAACCGCCCUUUCGGGCAAAGGCUUGCUUCCGGAGUAUCGGCCCGCGUCUGAUUAGCUAGUUGGUGAGGUAACGGCGCACCAAGGCGACGAUCAGUAGCUGGUCUGAGAGGAUGAUCAGCCACUCUGUGACUGAGACACGGCCUAGACUCCUCCCUGACGAGGUAGAGUUUGAUACUGGACCAGCGUGGCAGUCCAGAACCAGUCGUGGCUGGUGAGAGAUAAAGCACUUAUGGUAAUACAGCAGUUUUAUCCGUGGCUAUAAUGACGGUACCAAAAGAAUAAGCCCCGGCUAACUUCGUG